GAUGAACGCUGGCGGCGUGCUUAACACAUGCAAGUCGAACGAAGCUCUUUUGUGGAUCCCUUCGGGGUGAAGCAAGAGAUGACUGAGUGGCGGACGGGUGAGUAACGCGUGGGAAACCUACCUCAUACAGGGGGAUAACAGCCGGAAACGGCUGCUAAUACCGCAUAAGCGCACGGGAUGGCAUCAUCCAGUGUGAAAAGCUCCGACGGUAUGGGAUGGUCCCGCGUCUGAUUAGCCAGUUGGCGGGGUAACGGCCCACCAAAGCGACGAUCAGUAGCCGACCUGAGAGGGUGACCGGCCACAUUGGGACUGAGACACGGCCCAAACUCC
rnacentral:rRNA from 1 species